UGGGGAAUUUUGGACAAUGGGGGAAACCCUGAUCUAGCCAUCCCGCGUGUGCGAUGAAGGCCUUCGGGUUGUAAAGCACUUUUGGCAGGAAAGAAACGUCAUGGGUUAAUACCCCGUGAAACUGACGGUACCUGCAGAAUAAGCACCGGCUAACUACGUGCCAGCAGCCGCGGUAAUACGUAGGGUGCAAGCGUUAAUCGGAAUUACUGGGCGUAAAGCGUGCGCAGGCGGUUCGGAAAGAAAGAUGUGAAAUCCCAGAGCUCAACUUUGGAACUGCAUUUUUAACUACCGGGCUAGAGUGUGUCAGAGGGAGGUGGAAUUCCGCGUGUCGCAGUGAAAUGCGUUGAUAUGCGGAGGAACACCGAUGGCGAAGGCAGCCUCCUGGGAUAACACUGACGCUCAUGCACGAAAGCGUGGGGAGCAAACAGG
rnacentral:rRNA from 1 species